GAACACUGCAGUGAUGUUUUACAGUAAGCCAGGUGAGGAACACUGCAGUGAUGUUUUACAGUAAGCCAGGUGAGGAACACUGCAGUGAUGUUUUACAGUAAGUCAGGUGAGGAACACUGCAGUGAUGUUUUACAGUAAGCCAGGUGAGGAACACUGCAGUGAUGUUUUACAGUAAGCCAGGUGAGGAACACUGCAGUGAUGUUUUACAGUAAGCCAGGUGAGGAACACUGCAGUGAUGUUUUACAGUAAGCCAGGUGAGGAACACUGCAGUGAUGUUUUACAGUAAGCCAGGUGAGG